rnacentral:lncRNA from 1 species
GAAUUUUUGGCCAUCCGAGUGUGCAAAGCAAGUUCCAGGCCAGCCCAGAGCUGGUAUAAAGAGAAACCCCAUCUGGAACACCUUACAAAAGAAAGAGGGUCUACAAGGAACCUCGAUGGAGAAGACACGUACCUGCCAGGCCCUUGGAAUAAGACUUCAGUUUCCAGUAGUGAACUCGACAAGUUGGGAGAACCUGCUGCUAUCCAGACUAGCCUCCAGGUUUCCAAAGGCCUCAAGAGCCUGCAAGUAACCCAGACGCGACAGUACACCCAGAGACCCAAUGUAAUCACGCCUCCAGGUACACCCUGGGUCUAUGCAACAGCUCCAUGGGAUCUCAUGGGCAAAGUUAACAGUUCUCCCAGUGAAUCCUUCUGAAUUUCUACUGAAGUUUUCUUGUUCCCAGGUCUGGUUCAGGAACAAAUGGGCAAAACACAAUCUGUAAAGUCCCCCAAAAGGUGCGGCCUGAAAAGCACAGAUAUCCUGGAGCUGGUGUUGGUUCUCACCAGACCUGAGACUACUUAUGUAGUCAGACACUCACUGUGUCUGCUAUGUUCUUUGGUGUUUUCAUGAAACAUUGUAUAGAUGUCUGCUAAGCUUAUUUAUUGGAAAAUCUUUUCCCAACUCUGAGGCGGUAUCUGUCUUUAAGGUUGAAGUAUGUUUCUUGUAUGCAGCAAAAGGAUGGAUCCUGUUCUGUAGAGAAAGAGGAACACUCCUCCAUUGCUGUUGGGAGUGCAAACUUGUACAACCAUGUUGAAAAACAGUAUGAUGGUUUCUUAGGAAAAUCAGAAUCGGUCUACCUCAAGAUUCAGCAAUUCCUCUCUUAGGCAUAUACCCAAAGGAUGCACAUUCAUAGAAUAAGGACAUAUGUCCAACUAUGUUCAUAGUAGCAUUGUUUGUAAAAGGCAGAACAUGGAAUCAAUCUAUAUGCCCCUCAGCUGAAGAAUGCAAUGAGAAAAUGUGGUACAUUUAAACAAUGGAGUACUACUCGGCAUAAAAGCUCAAUGAAAUCUUGAAACUUGCAGGCAACGGGAUAGAACUAGUUGAAACAAUCCUAAGUGAGUUAACCCAGUCAAAGAAAGACAAACAUGGUAAUAUUCACUCUUAUAUGGAUAUUAGACAUAGAGCAAAGGUUUACCAGUGUACAUUCCCUACCACCAGAGAAGCAAGGAAACAAGCAGGACCAUGAAAGUGUCAUCCAUGUUCCUGCAGUGAAGCUGAAAAUACAAGAGUUCCUGAGCAAAUUGGGACAUGGGGAGAGUGGGUAUGGAGGUAGGGUAAUGAAUGAGGAGAGGGGAGGAGAGGGAUGAGAACAUGAGGGAUGAGGACGAUUGUGUGGGGAGAGGAAUAGAGCAGAGCAAGGAAAGAGACAAUCAGUAGAGGAGCCACUAUGGGUUUAAAGAGAAAUCUGGCACUAGGAAAUUGUACAGAGAUCCGCAAGAAUGACCCCUACUAGGAACCUUAUCAAUAGGGGAGAGAAUAACUUUAAUGCCCUUUCCCUAUCAUGAGAAUGAUGACUACCCUGAAUGCCAUGCUAGAACCUUCAUCCAUUAGCUGAUGGAAGGAGAAGCAGAGAUCCACAGGUAAGCACAGAGCCCAAGUCCUGGAAUCCAGUUUCAGAGAGGGAGGAGUGAUCAACUAAAGGGUCUAGAUCAUGCUGGGAAAACCUGCAGAAACAGCUGACCUGAGAAAGUAGGAACCCAUGCACCCCAGUCUGGGGAAACAACAUAGGACCAAACCAGGCCCCCUGAACAGGGUGUCAGCUAGGAGCACUGGGCAGUCUAUGGGGCCUUUGGCAGUGAAACCAGGAUGUAUCCCUAUUGCACGAAUGGAUUUGGGAGCCCAUUUCCCAUGGAGCAAUACUCUCUUAGCCUGGUAAACAGGGGACCACUAAGGUCCUGCCCCAAAUGACUUGAUAGAUUUUGAUGAUCCCUCAUCGAAGGCCUCACCCUCCCUGGGCAGUAGAUGGGGAAUGUGAUGAGGGGGCUCCACAGGGGGCCUGGGAGGAUAGGAGGGAGAGUGAUCUGGAAUUGAGAUGUAAAAUAAGAUCAUUUCUAAUUUUUA